rnacentral:rRNA from 1 species
AUUGAACGCUGGCGGCAGGCCUAACACAUGCAAGUCGAGCGGAUGAAGGGAGCUUGCUCCUGGAUUCAGCGGCGGACGGGUGAGUAAUGCCUAGGAAUCUGCCUGGUAGUGGGGGAUAACGUCCGGAAACGGGCGCUAAUACCGCAUACGUCCUGAGGGAGAAAGUGGGGGAUCUUCGGACCUCACGCUAUCAGAUGAGCCUAGGUCGGAUUAGCUAGUUGGUGGGGUAAAGGCCUACCAAGGCGACGAUCCGUAACUGGUCUGAGAGGAUGAUCAGUCACACUGGAACUGAGACACGGUCCAGACUCCUACGGGAGGCAGCAGUGGGGAAUAUUGGACAAUGGGCGAAAGCCUGAUCCAGACAUGCCGCGUGUGUGAAGAAGGUCUUCGGAUUGUAAAGCACUUUAAGUUGGGAGGAGGGGCAGUAAGUUAAUACCUUGCUGUUUUGACGUUACCAACAGAAUAAGCACCGGCUAACUUCGUG